rnacentral:rRNA from 1 species
UACAGAGGGGGCAAGCGUUGUUCGGAAUCACUGGGCGUAAAGCGUGCGUAGGCGGCUUUACAAGUCAGGGGUGAAAUGCCAAGGCUUAACCUUGGAACUGCCUUUGAAACUGUAAAGCUGGAGUGUCGGAGGGGAUAGCGGAAUUUCUAAUGUAGCGGUGAAAUGCGUAGAUAUUAGAAGGAACACCGGUGGCGAAGGCGGCUAUCUGGACGACAACUGACGCUGAGGCACGAAAGCGUGGGGAUCAAACAGG